GGAAUCUUCCACAGUGGACGAAAGUCUGAUGGAGCAACGCCGCGUGAGUGAAGAAGGGUUUCGGCUCGUAAAACUCUGUUGUUAAAGAAGAACAUAUCUGAGAGUAACUGUUCAGGUAUUGACGGUAUUUAACCAGAAAGCCACGGCUAACUACGUGCCAG
rnacentral:rRNA from 1 species